rnacentral:rRNA from 1 species
CCCUUAGAUGUCCUGGGCCGCACGCGCGCUACACUGCUGUUCUCAACGAGUGAUUUCUCCUGGCUCGAAAGAGUUGGGUAAUCUUCUGAAACAACAGCGUGAUGGGGAUAGACCAUUGCAAUUAUUGGUCUUCAACGAGGAAUUCCUAGUAAGCACAAGUCAUCAGCUUGUGCUGAUUACGUCCCUGCCCUUUGUACACACCGCCCGUCGCUCCUACCGAUUAAUCGUCCGGUGAAGUUCAUGGAGUCGCGGCUGCUCCAGCUGUUUUCGAAGUGAAAUGGACCUCAUGAUUUAGAGGAAGGAGAAGUCGUAACA